UUGGUCGCCGCGACUCGCGCUGUGAGCGGCUCGCUGAUUGGACGGGCGGGCGCGAGAGCGACGGCCGAGGGCGGUGGCAGCGCUGCUCUCCUCGGUGAGGGGGGGCCCUGUGACGUCACGCUGACGUCAUACCGCGCCAUGGCCCGCUGGGACGAGCUGCGGCGUGUUCUCUGUGCAAGAAGAUUCUAUGUUUGGUAGUCCUUACUCACUUGUUCCUGCCGUUUGGUUUCUCAACUCUCUGCUGCAGGGAUCUUGAAGUGCAUUAAAACGUAGAAUGCACACCUGGAUCGCCCUGCUGGUGGAGCCUCUGAGCCUGGAGAAGUGGAAUUUGUGUUCUGAUGGCCAGUAAAACUGAAGUAGUUGGAUGGAGGACUGCUACAUCCAAGUACCAGCACAGUUAAUUUUCUAGCUUGUUUUCUAAAGUUGGAGUUACUGAAAUGCAAACUGCACUUCGGUGUCCUGGUGCAGGGCUGGUGCUUGAUUAGAAGAGGUGUCUGGAGCUGACAGUUGUAAUGGAAGUAAAAGGAAGCAUGGAAAUCCGCUCUCUUUCUUGAAAAGAGAGGCUUCCCAUUGACUCCCAGGGCGUGGCUUUUGCAGCUAGCUGUUAGAGCUGAGGUGGUGUCCUUAAGCUGACAAGCAGGAAGGAGUUGAGAAGGAUUAUGGUGUGCAGCUGGGGAAACAGGAUGCUACUUAAUUUCCCCCAAAGGCAAGUUCCUUCUGGUUCUUCGGCACAUGGCAACGUCUCAGGGAAGAAUAAAGGAGCAGUUCAUGCUCUUACAAUGAUGGAGAUAUGAAAUGUUAGAACCCAAAACCCCAAUCUAUAUAUAUGUGUGUGUGUGUGUGUGUGUAAAACAAGGUAAGUUUAAGACAAAGGUGGUGAAAGGAGAGGAUAUAUUUACAUAAGACAAGGAAGAAAAAGAAAAGGAUGGGGAUGGAAUGAAGUUUCCCAAAACCUUGUCUUUCAGAACACAUGGUUACAGCUGCAGGCAGCCCUGGGGAGCAGAUCCUGACCUUCAUUGCUCUUCUUGGGGAAAAAGCAGUUGGAGGAAUUGCUUGCAGACGGAAUUUUAAGGUUAACAAAAGAGAUCACGUUCAGCCAUUGAACGAUGGAGAAACCUUUUGGUAGGCUUGGGAAAUCUUGGCUACAUUUACUGCAGCCCCUCUCUAAAAGCUUAAAAACCUAACUCUUGCACGUGUUUUUCAAGCAUGCCGACCACUUGCAGCCCUUACUGAUGACUUCCGUUGUGCUUCGGUGAAGAAGCAUUUCAACCGUUCUUCAUCUUGGCCCCGGAGCAGCGCGUCUGAAAAGA